rnacentral:tRNA from 1 species
AGAUAAAGAAGGGAAUUGAACCCUUAAAGAAUUAGAUUUGCAAUCCAAUCUCAGAAACCUUCUGUCUUUAUC